rnacentral:snRNA from 1 species
UGAUGAGAAUAUGAUCUGGCUGUAAUACCAUUGACCACCAGUGCUGAUUCUGUCGAUCUGGCUGACUAGGUAGGAGUUCCCCUCUUCCUUCUUCACUCCAUAUGAGUUUCUCUGAAAGCUGUACCCUCAGUCAAAAAGGACAAUGAAAGAGUACUUUUCUUCAGUGAAGGACUUGGGAGUUCUGCUCUUCAAUCAAGGGCAAAUGAGUAGCUGUGCUCCCUACCAGAACAAGAUUUCAAAGUAGUAACAAUUUUUAUUUUUUUAUUUUUCACAGCAAAUGACACAAUUUGAGACAUAUAGGAGACCCUUAAU